CUGUUCCCUUAUAGGUCUUAUUUCGAACGUAUGUUUUCGUUCCUGUUGAGGGCAUAGGAGUAGAAUUAUUGGACCAUUAUGAGACUUGGAGGCUUAAAUUCUGGAGAAAUGGUCAAUGUGGUCUGCUUCGGUGUAACUGCCAGGGAGCCUGCCUCGGCUCCCAUUAGCUUGGAGGACUGAAAAUAAGCGUCUGCUUCUCAGUCAGGGAUGCGAGAGUGUUUAGAGUGUUAGCCUUUCCUCUGCCUCCAUACAAAGCAUUUUAUCAUUUCGGGUUUCCAACAGAGGUUCCUCCUCUCUGUGUCAACACAUACUGCUUUUCGUUCCAGGCUCCCCCUUGGUUUAGGUUGCCCCUUGAUUACAGUUCCUUCUCCAUGAGCUAAGGGGACAUUAGCUCUGAUGAUGGCACCUGGUCACACUGGCAAGCUAACAGCUGAAAAAAAUCUGGUCUGAAUUAAAGCUUUUCCUUUUUAAAAAAAUACAGCUCUUAGGAAGUUUAAAGCAACGUGCACCCCAUUUCGAGUCUGUCUGUCACACAGAUGUGUGUUUCCGGGGUGGGCACAAUGUCACAGAAGUAUUGCUACAUUCAUUAUUUCCCAGUUAUGAACAGAGCCAUCCCCAACAGCCUUCUGGGAAAUGACGGAAGCACUGGAGAAGAAAUUAGAGCUAAGGAAUUGAGGAUCUCAGUGUGAGAUGGGUGUGAAGCUGGCCUUGCUCACCGCAAAGCCCAAGCCUCUGUUACGCCUCUGUUUUUCCCGUUCGCUGUUGUUCUAUUGGAAAGGUCAAGGCAUGGGUCACCCAAAAAGUGUCAGGAAUGGGUUCUGCCUUGUGAAGUGAGCCUUAAGUCAAAUCAGAUAUUGGUUGGUUACUUCCACAGACUUUGUGUCACCAUUGUACACUAGCCCAUUUUGCAGGACACCAACGUAGAUUAAAGGGUACCUACAUUUGUUAAUGUCAACUAUCCAAAUACUAUCCCAGGCAGACGGAAUAGACAGACAAGGUGAGUAAGUGCUGUGGGUUCCCAGAGGCAGCCUUACUUGGGUGAGGGAUUGGUAAGGCAAGGCUUGACCAGGAAGGAGAAGAAAGAGAUGAAGGAAGGAAGGAAGGAAGGAAGGAAGGAAGGAAGGUAGGUUGACUAGUUGUGAGUAAGCCUUCGUUAUGCCAGCUCUCCUCCUUUAUGUAUCAGUAAUGAAUAUAUAUAUGUAUAUAUAUGUAUAUAUAUAUAUAUGUAUAUAUAUAUAUAUAUGGAUCAAUUUUCCAAUUACUAGGGAAGACAACUCUGGAACAUAUAUACUUUAUAGACAAUCAUGGUCUAUUGUAUAAAGAUUCUUUUUUUUUAGCAUUACUGAUACCACUCAAUAUCUGAGACGAAAUAAAUGUAUUUGUAUUUUAUCCUUUUAAGUGCACUUCAGAACCUUCUGGCUUCCUGGGCAGACACUUGGGUUUGCUGAGAAGGAGAAUCGUUAGGAGACAUAAGAGCUACUUAUUUUUUCAUGGGACGUGUACAUAAACCUUACACCUGUAACGUGACCGAGUGGCAUGAAUUUCCAGGGCUUGUUUUUGUGUCCCUGGCUGGGGGACUCCGUGCUUUCUCUAACCGCAGCCAGGAGUUGAAUUGAACUACUUGCUGGUGUCAUAAAUAAGCGAGGGUGUCAUGGCAGUUUUCAUUUGACUGAGCAGUAAUGGAGUUAAUUACACUUUCUGCCUCUUUGUUUUCGAUCUGUGUUUCCAAAGUCAACUAAGCUGUAGGGCAGCUUCUUUUUAACCCUUCCCUCGUCUGACUAGAUUGUGGGGCCCCCACGCUUAGGAGUCAUUAAUCUUUUAGAAUUCCCCCUUCUCAUUUGUGAUUUUUUUCAGAUUAUGUUUUGUCAUAAUUCUCCAAAGAAAUAGGGACAUCAAAAGCAUUAUUUUGUACUUAGUAUUUAAGAUUUAUUACAGGCAUCUUACAAAAAUGAUGUGUGAAUUGGGUAGGGUUUUUCUUCCAGUACUAAGAUACACUAGGCAGAUACUCUGUCACUGACCUAUAUCCAGAUUUAAUUUUUUUAUUCUUUGCGUGAGUGUGUGAAAUUAUUUGCUUAUGGGUUACAUAUUGCUACAGUGUGUGUAAAUAGAGACUAGAGGACAGCUUUGUGGAUUUGGUUCUCUCUUGCCAUCUUUAUAUGGGAUCAAACUCAUAUCAUUAAGCUUGUGGCACAAAUACCUUGACUUAGGCAACUCAUUGGCCAGAGGCUCUUUAAAAAUAUUUUAGUUCUGUGUCUGGGUCUCCUUAAGCUUUCCAGGCUGGUUUUGAAUCUGUUAUGUAGGUCCAGGAGGUCCUUGAAUUUACAAUCCUCCUGCCUCAGCUUCCUGAGUGGCUAAGAAUGUAGGUAUGUGCUAACAGGACAAAGGGAAGGAAAUACUUUAGAUUAAUAUUCCAUGUAAGCAAAGCAUGGUAAGGAAAUGUGAAUUCUGGAUCAGAUCUAGUAAGUCAGGCGUGGCUGAGAAGUCCUCUCACUAUUGUUGCUGCUAUUGGGAAUCUUCAUGAUGAGUUCUCUGUCUGAUCAGUAUUUAUUGAUUAAACUUGAGGGGCUAUAUCUUUAUGAAAACACAUAUGUACACAUAUGAACAUCUAUAUGAACAAAUAUGUAUAUACAUCUUAUGAGCACAUGUGUACAUCUAUAUGAAGACACAUACAUACAUCUACAUGAGCACACAUAUGUACAUCUAUAGAACACACAUAUGUACAUCUAUAUGAAUACAUACAUACAUCUAUAUGAACAUGCAUAUGUACAUCUAUAUGAACACACAUGUACAUCUAUAUGAGCAUACAUAUAUACAGCUAUAUGAACACACAUACAUACAUCUACAUGAGCACACAUAUGUACAUAUAUAUGAAUACACAUGUACAUUUAUAUGAGCACACAUAUGUGCAACCAUAUAAACAUACAUAGAAACAUUUGGAAGUAUCAAAUUAAUUUUCCAUCCUUAUUGAUAUUAUUUAUUUGUGUCUACAUAAAUAGAAAUGCUCAAAUGACCAUUCCAUAUCAUUUAUGUUAAGAUGAUCGGGGAUAAAGGGAUUCUUAAUACUGUUUUCUCUUAUGGUUGGAUAAUUGGAAUAUAUGAGACAGAAAGUGAAGCAUAUACUAUUCUCAUGUAUGAUAUAUAUAUCAUAUAUAUACAUACAGAUAUAAUAUUCAUUAAAAACAAGAGAAAUAUACUUUAUGAUUUGCUCUUAUUUCCAAUGUGAUUUUGCUUUUAGCAGAUACACCCUUCUUUUGUAACACUCCGCGAGUAGCUUCCUACAGAUUUUCUAAUUUGUUAUAAUUCUUACACAUGGGACUUGGUAUAUAGAUAUAUAUUUUUUCCCACUCCCGUUUAUUCAAAUUAAAAGUGUAUUAGAGAUUCUGUCAUGAAAUGACUUCAUCUUGUCAUUUCAUCUUUCAUUCUAGUAAUGAAAGUUUUAUUAUGAUUCAUACCGUACUUGAAUACUGUUGUUUUUAUGAAAAAUCUAGGAAUUGAUUAUUUUGUUGUUUUUGGAGGCAGGAUGUGAUUAGUCACAGAAUUAACCUCUGGGGGUGGGAGUGUUAGUUUUUAUCACACACUGAAAUAGAUUAAAUGUAGGAAUGCUACACUCAAAACAAGUUUGGGGACCAUGAAGGGACUUGGCUAAUGUUUAAGAGAGAAGAGAAGCACUGUACCCUGUAAGGCAGAGGAGCCUUAAUUUUUAGCCUGACGUUUCAUGUGAAAAAUUAGUGUUUUCUUCACUCCUUUAGGACACUGAACCAUCCAGGUUAACCCCCAAACAUGCUGACAGGUCCAAGAGAAGCCACAACACGAUUCUGUGAACUGACAGGUCCAGGUCUUCCGGGUGAGAAUCAUCCGUUCUCUGUCAAGAAAAACCCUGUGAUACUAGGAAUGGAAUUCGGUGGGAGCAGGUUGAGUCAGCAUUUUUAUUCUGAUUUAGUGAUUUAAUUUCAACAAGAUCAUGAUUAUAUUGGCUCUGGUGUUCAAAUGUCAAGGAAGAAAAAACAUGCAAAAUAACUCUACCAGUGUGGAAUCCAAGGAAACAAACAAAACCCAGGGUGCAGUAGCUGCUGAAGGUUCCCCUCCAUGACUGUCUGUCACAUGACUGACAGAGGAGAACAUGGCAAACUCCCACAUCCCGCGUUCUUUAACAGGGCUGCAUUUCUACCUUGGGAUCCCAUAAAGUGAAAUUUGAGCCAUUUUGACUUAUACGCAAUACGGCAUGUGACACAUCUUUAGUGUUUAGAAACACUAAAACAAACUAGAACCUCUCCUUAUGGGUUUCUGGGAACCACAAGGAAGAUGGACAUACUUCCAACAUGCUUUAUUAACACUCUAGAAGUCCCGUUUUCCUAGCCCCUCUUCCCAAAGCUGCACUUUCUUGUGUCUCAGGCUUACAUACCCGUUUGCAUACCCAGGACUAUUUUCUGCUACCAAGAGCGGCUGAGCCCGAAGAGCACAGUUCUGCUGCCUCUGGCUCUAAACUGGUAAGCAGAUGGGCUCCAGAGUCCCCUGGAGGAGGGGCAUUCCCCUUCAGCCUACGGUGUUCAUUACUGGUGAAGUUUUGAUCAAGUUUAUGUGUCAAGCACUCCCGCACAUCAGCUCCACAGAGGAGCAGGACAAGCCAUUGUGAAAGGCAUCACCAUUUCAACCAAAAGGCGCACAUCCAUUGCUUUGUUUGAAGGUGCCUUUCAUCUCUCCUCCGUCAGGGGCCGAGCAUCGGAGCCACGUUCACAUUCACAGUCGCUGUGAAGGGGAUUUUCCACUCAGGUUCCGGGAAGGUCACUGAUUAGGCCAGUAAACCCCGAUUUCCUUAAUCUGUGAGAAAACCAUAAAUGUGCUCCUUGAAGACGUUUAAAAUAACUCUGUGACAUUAGCGUCAGGACAAACUCCAAACAGCUAAAAUGAUUGAACUCAGUCAGCUUUCAAAUUCGCUCCUACCAAUCAGCUGGUUUUUAUGAGUGUGACAUUGGUGUCUCCCCCAACUGAGUUAUGUUUUAUUAAAGCUUACCUAUGUGUUACAUGCAUACAGCCCUGAGGAUGUUACUUUUCAAAAUUAAAACCGAUUAGUACAAAGUAAUUUUUGUUCUACAAAAUAAUUUCUUCUGUGAGGAAGAUGCUGAAUGACUAAUAAAACGGGAACUAAUUGUACUUUA